rnacentral:rRNA from 1 species
AGUCGUAGCAAGGUCUCCGUAGGUGAACCUGCGGAGGGAUCAUUACACAAAUAUGAAGGCGGGCUGGAACCUCUCGGGGUUACAGCCUUGCUGAAUUAUUCACCCUUGUCUUUUGCGUACUUCUUGUUUCCUUGGUGGGUUCGCCCACCACUAGGACAAACAUAAACCUUUUGUAAUUGCAAUCAGCGUCAGUAACAAAUUAAUAAUUACAACUUUCAACAACGGAUCUCUUGGUUCUGGCAUCGAUGAAGAACGCAGCGAGAUGCGAUAAGUAGUGUGAAUUGCAGAAUUCAGUGAAUCAUCGAAUCUUUGAACGCACAUUGCGCCCUUUGGUAUUCCAAAGGGCAUGCCUGUUCGAGCGUCAUUUGUACCCUCAAGCUUUGCUUGGUGUUGGGCGUCUUGUCUCUAGCUUUGCUGGAGACUCGCCUUAAAGUAAUUGGCAGCCGGCCUACUGGUUUCGGAGCGCAGCACAAGUCGCACUCUCUAUCAGCAAAGGUCUAGCAUCCAUUAAGCCUUUUUUUCAACUUUUGACCUCGGAUCAGGUAGGGAUACCCGCUGAACUUAAGCAUAUCA